UACGUAGGGGGCGAGCGUUGUCCGGAAUUAUUGGGCGUAAAGGGUGUGUAGGCGGCUCUGCAAGUCAGAUGUGAAAUGGUACGGCUUAACCGUGCACAUGCAUUUGAAACUGCAGAGCUUGAGUUCGGAAGAGGAAAACGGAAUUCCUGGUGUAGCGGUGAAAUGCGUAGAUAUUGGGAGAACACCAGUGGCGAAGGCGACUUUCUGGUCUGUAACUGACGCUGAGGCGGCGAAAGCUAGGG
rnacentral:rRNA from 1 species